GAUGAACGCUGGCGGCGUGCCUAACACAUGCAAGUCGAGCGGAGAUAUAUGAACAGAUAGAGAUAUUUGGGAAUACAUCUUAGCGGCGGACGGGUGAGUAACACGUGAGGAACCUGCCUUACACUAAGGAAUAACAACGUGAAAACGUUGCUAAUACCUCAUAACACCGCACUGUGGCAUCACAGAGCGGUCAAAGGAGAGAUCCGGUGUAAGAUGGCCUCGCGCCCGAUUAGUUAGUUGGAGGGGUAACGGCCCACCAAGACUACGAUCGGUAGCCGGACUGAGAGGUCGAACGGCCACAUUGGAACUGAGAAACGGUCCAGACUCCUACGGGAGGCAGCAGUGGGGAAUAUUGGGCAAUGGGGGAAACCCUGACCCAGCAACGCCGCGUGAAGGAAGAAGGCCUCGGUGUAACUCUUGAUCAGGAGAACAAAUAGACGGUACUGAAAACAAGACCACGGCUACUACGUG
rnacentral:rRNA from 1 species